CCUGGGUCCCUGCCAAGCCCGGCGAGUGCGGCGGCCCGGACUGUUCCCCCCCGCCCCCCGGGCCUCACCCGUGUGUCACAGCCCGAGCCUGGGCCGGUGGGGAAGGACAGGAUUUACCGCCAGCAGCUAAGUCGUGUGUAAAGUCCAGCGGCCCUGCUUAAAGCCCUGCCUCAGCCUUAUACAGAUGAAAGCUGACAACUGAAUGAAAAUAAAUGGACUCCUGCUGCAUUUGUGUCUAAACACAGUUUAAAAGAUGGACUUUAAAAACAAAUGUUUUGAUAAGCAACCAUAUUCUAAAAAAGAAGGCAUCUGUGGUAUCAUACAAUCUCAUUUGCCCAAACUGACAUCAGCAAAGCUUAUCUUCACAUGUAUCAGAAUAACCUAUCCACCAAAAUGUUAUGGAGUGAGCUUAAUUAAUUCAUAUGUAUUAUGACUGUGCAAACCUGUCACAUUAUGUUUUUAAGGGAUGUUUGUGUCUGUUUUGCUUUGUGACUCUUAAGGCUCGUCCUGAGCUACAUUUGACCCUUACAUUUUAAUAAAUUAAACUAAAAAUGAUAUAACUUAAGUUACUUACUAGUAAUUUGUAAUAAAGUAUCUCUUAAGUGGGGAGUGAAAACAUGUAAAGAUUCUGAUGUUAAACAUUUUAGAACUUUGAAAGUAUACAACCAAAGGGUUGGUCAAAAAGAUUAAGGCAAAAGCAUACUAGUGUACACUGAUAAGAUAAAUUUGUAUAUUAAAUCAGUAAAGCUGGGGUUCUUGUCUGAAA